CCUACGGGUGGCAGCAGUGGGGAAUAUUGGACAAUGGGGGGAACCCUGAUCCAGCCAUGCCGCGUGUGUGAAGAAGGCCCUCGGGUUGUAAAGCACUUUCAGUGAGGAAGAACGCCUGGUGGUUAAUACCCAUCAGGAAAGACAUCACUCACAGAAGAAGCACCGGCUACACUCCGUGCCAGCAGCCGCGGUAAUACGGAGGGUGCGAGCGUUAAUCGGAAUUACUGGGCGUAAAGCGCGCGUAGGUGGCUUGAUAAGCCGGUUGUGAAAGCCCCGGGCUCAACCUGGGAACGGCAUCCGGAACUGUCAAGCUAGAGUGCAGGAGAGGAAGGUAGAAUUCCCGGUGUAGCGGUGAAAUGCGUAGAGAUCGGGAGGAAUACCAGUGGCGAAGGCGGCCUUCUGGACUGACACUGACACUGAGGUGCGAAAGCGUGGGUAGCAAACAGGAUUAGAUACCCGUGUAGUC
rnacentral:rRNA from 1 species